GUAAGUGUAGUUUAGAAUAAACGUUAGAUUGUGAUUCUAAAGACAGGAGUUAAACCCUCCUCAUCUACC
rnacentral:tRNA from 1 species